rnacentral:rRNA from 1 species
GUUCAGUUGGUUAGAGCGCACCCCUGAUAAGGGUGAGGUCGGACGUUCGAGUCGUCCCAGGCCCACCACUGAAUCCAGAAGGUUGGGCGUCGAUCUGAAGCUCUUGUUGUGCUGAGCGUGCUCUUAGGGGCCAUAGCUCAGUUGGGAGAGCGCGUGCUUUGCAAGCAUGAGGUCGUCGGUUCGAUCCCGUCUGGCUCCACCAUUUCCUGCAUUCCGAUGAGGGAUGCGGUCGAGAUGGUCGGUGGUGAAGCGCUUCAAGCGUGAGAGAAGAACAUCCGGUUCUUUUCUCUUCUGUCCGCACAAUCUGUUUCGCUGAUCCUCAGCAAGCCCCCAUGUGGGCGAGGAUGAGCGCUGCUGUCUGACAUUGUGAAUCUGGGCGUUUUCGAUUUGCUGGCCGCAAGGCUGGCGGGUCGUGACAAUCAAGCUUUCGGGCUUGAGAGGACACGAUCAUCGGGUGCUGACCGCACCGGUGUCGAAAAUGUCGAAGCUGGUCUUUAGCGUCCAGCCCUCUCGCUGAUCCGCCUGGUGCGGAUUGAUGAGAACCUCAGCCGAGGAGUGGGCAUGGACGAUGAGAACGAUCAAGUGUCUUAAGGGCAUUCGGUGGAUGCCUUGGCGCUAAGAGGCGAAGAAGGACGUGGUACGCUGCGAUAUGCUUCGG